GUCUUAUCAAGAGAGGUGGAGGGAAGUGGCCCUGAGAAACCUCGGCAACCAUUAAGUAUUUGCUUAAUACAGGUGCUAAAUCCAUCUAGGCUUUAUGCUUAGAAAAGAUAAGAG
rnacentral:ncRNA from 2 species